ensembl:lncRNA
GCUGGAAGUUGUGAGCUAGUUAGCCGAACAUGCUAACGUUUUUGACUUUAAAGCAGUUUAAUCCAGUUUUUACACUUUUAUUCUUGGGUUUUACAUACAAAUACUGCAUCAAAACCUGUUCAGUGAACAAAUUAAGUUGUUUAUCUGAAUUCCAAUCUGACAACAUGUACGAGAACCAAGUCAAAAGACGCAGUGUAGUUUGGUUUCUAUCAGCUAACGUGUCAGUACUCCUCCUGUUCAUACAGCGAGGAAUGUGCUUCAUUGACUGGUCGGUUUUACUGCGUAACAAAGCCAAAGAAAAAGCCAGUUGGUUUUUGUUUUCGCCUCCUUUUGUCCCAGUAAGAGAAGCCCAUAGAAAGCCUGUAGGUUGAAUUAACAAGCUUGUUUCCCAUGUACUGCUCUGCCCUCCCAGCAGCCCCCAUCAGCAGGAACAAGAUGUACUCAAAGAGGGAAACCCAGAGUCCUUAUGUUCAUCCAGACCGGGUUCUUGCUGGAAACCAGUUUGUAGCGUUCUGAGGUACAAUAGCAUGGCUUUGUUUUUAUGGGAGUAGGAUGGAACAAUGCGGAGUCCUGCUCGGUAACUCAAGCUACCAAACUAACGCUUAUUUUGAAUGAACUGUUUUGAUUUUGCAAAAUCAAAUUUAUAUUCUUGUGGUUUAGCAUUUAACCGUAAACAACAGACUCCACAUCGAGGAAUAUUUAACGAUCCUCUGAAACACACUGUGAGCUGCGACCAAACCCUUCCCUUAACAAUGUCUUGUUUUUGAACCAGACUUUUGGUGCGCAGCAAGAGGGGCGUUGGGUCUGAGAAAAUAACAAGGCGGAAGUUGUAAAUUCAUGACGUGCCGUGUCAGCAUUGAUGUAAAAAGGUGGUCACGUUAUAUGCAGCACGUUUCUCAUCACCUUCAACGAGCAACAGCACCCAAAUAGUUAACACAAAUGUCCCCCUUAUUUCCUACCUUGCUUUGGUUAAAUGUCCUAUUGCUUUACGACGUAAAUGAACGGCACGGCAUUUUAGUCUUCAGUCCCGGCAGAUAAACUAAGAGACGUUUGGUUCACACGGUGCAAUGUGGGUUUGUGAGACCUUUGCAAAAAGAUGUUGACUUCCUUGCAGCAAUGUGAAAAGUCCUAAGUCUAAUUCUAGUUCUAAGUCUAAGUCUAAUGCACAGAAGAUAAUAAUGUGUACCCCCCCAUUUACAAAAACACAUGUUUAUUAAUUAUUGUGUGCAGCAAGCUAUAUGUUUAUGUAUUUAUUUCUAGCACUUUGGGGCCUCUCCACUUUGUUGAGGGCAAUUUACAACCUUAUGAUUGAUGACCUCAUCAUAGCUUUGCAUUACUGCUAAUUGAGUAAAUCUAAUUAGCAUUAUAACACCAUAAACACUUGAGGGGACUCUAAUUUAAGAAAAGUCUUUGUGUUUAGUUAAUGCAAUGUUCCUUUUAAAUGGAAACCAAAAUGUCUGAGGAAAAAAGCUAUUGGUUAAAUAAAUGCAGUGGAGUAAAAACACUUUUCUCUGAGGAGUAGAAGUGCAGUGCUGGCAGACUUAAAGGUGUAAACCCGAGGGGGUACCGGCUGGGUGUCGGGUGGUGCUACCGGUUGUGUUGGCUGUAUGAGCGCUGGCAGUGAGCACCAACAUGCACUAAAAAGCAGCAUUCCGGCUAAAUAAGCGAAGCGGAGAGGAGCUCUGACAACAACACGCAGCGGUCGGCUGAAGCCGAGUUGGUGUUGAGGCUGAUGGUAAAAACACCUGUUGAACCGAGACGGACCGAAUUGAGCUGAAGACCAGCUGUGCGUCAACCAGAGAUCCAUCAAUUCUUUAUGUGGUGGUCUCAAAGACAAAAAACAGUCUUGUUUGAUAUGUCCUGAUUGGGAAUUGUGGAUUGCAGAAAUGCCUGACGACUGAAGCCUGAACCCCCCGGUUAACACUCAGAGUGUCACUAAUUCUUUGUCCCCACUUUCAACAAGUCUAAGAAAAAAUAAGUUAUUUAUGGUUUAUGAUAUACAUAUUAUUUUCAUAACAUGGUCAUUUAUUGCACAAAGCUACUGAUCAUCUUUAGUGCAUUUAUGUUGGUCUAGUUUGACUAUAGAUAUCAACAACAAACAAGGAUCCACCUCAUCAGUCAUUUUGAUAUUUGAUAUGAUGGGGAUGAAUGCAUCUUCGCUGCACCUUUCUGUUGGAUCCCUGCUUUAAUUAUCAGGAUUACUCAUCCCGCUGUCAAAAAGCGAGCCGCGUGUCAUGAAGACGGUUCAGCAAAGGUCGUGGACUGAACCACCUGAGCUCGAGUGGCGCGCUGACGAGCCCGGACCUGGCGCGCCCGGCUCACGGUUAAACCGGGAGUCAGACGUGGGAGCUGAAAGACGAUCUCCCUGAGUGCUCUGAUCUCUUCAGCCUGGAUUGAGGAGAAAGGAGUGUCCGGUUUCCAGUGUUUCAUGGAGGACAGGACGUACUGUGAGAAAGAGCCUCACCCCCGACAGAGAGAGUAACCGGAGAGGUAACCACUUAAAGCACAGGAGAGAUCAGGUAUUCCCCAAGGGAGUCCUUGGGGACAGUGGACACAAUGAAUGAGCAUGACACAUGUCACCGUAUAGCUCGGUGAGAUGUUGACUCACGCAGGCCGAACGAGAGAAUAGCGCGUUGUUUCAACUCAUUUACACCAUUAUGGAUUCACCCAUGAAGUAAGUUCAGCAUGUAGGCCGUUAAGUAUCCUGAUUUUGGGUGUAGGACCACUGGGCACAGUAGUGAGGAGGCCACUGAAAGAGAUGACAACAAAAGGUAGAACCACAUAGAAGAAACCAAACCUCCCACAACAGAGACACAAUUGGCCCCCUGAAAGAUGAGAAAUGUCCUCAAAGGAACACAAAAAUAUCACUGAAAGAUGGGAAAUCACAUUUAAAAAAGUAAACAUGACAAAAAAUUGAUGGACAGAAGAAGAAGAGAGACAACCUACACGUUGCGUUGUCUUGCCGCUAUGUAGCACAUGUCUCUUUGCACUGGGGCCUGUAAAAGAUUCUCUUCCGCACCUCUGACCUUAUUGUACAUUACUAAAGAAGCUGACCUCUGUGGCUCUGCAUCGUGUGCGGGCUCGCACGGCUGAAUCUGUGGUGUCCAAACACCUGAACCCUGCGUGCCCCCUCAACCCCUUGACCUCCGACCCUUGACCAUCACGUAUCUCACUCUGAUCUUGUCUUCCGGACCAUCCCGGGGGAUCCGUCCGCAGACAGACCGACAGCCAGCGCGUCCUCGGAGCUGCUGAGGGACGUCGCGCUGACAGCGGGUGUUUCCUUCAGGCAACGUCUCGGCUUUUCUUUGUUCCAUCGGGAGAGUUCGCUCAAUACUUGAGUGGACGUGCACCCGACUGACGGCUAGAUUCUGGACGACGAACCCUAAGAUGUCAGGCAGAUGUGGAAUGUGGCACAGCCGCGUUGGUGAUGAGCGGAGGACAGAGGUUGUUUACUCGUGAGGAUUUCGUUUUUCCAGCUCUGUCACCCAAAUGAGUUUGGAAUCUUUGCUUUUCAGUGGGGUGAGAGAGAACCGCUGGCGAUUGGACAAACGGGAUGUUAGCCGCUCUUUUGCUCCUUCAUGGCCUUGCUGUUGACGACAGUGCCGCUACAGACAUGCAGACAUGUAGAGUCAUCCGGUAGUCUCAGCUCUCUGAUGCUUCCACGUUCCCACAAUAACUGUGCAGAGAAGCGUUACGUCACCACGCAGCCUUCGGUUCAGCGCUCACAGGCCGCCACUUACUCCAGGAGACAUCACAUGUGUGCAGUUUAUCACUGGACUAGAGGCAAGCCAAGGUGUCACUGGGAGAUUUACUGAGUCUGGGCUUCAGUCAUCAGGGAUUCAACACGCAGCAGCAACGAGUCCUGUGGGGUGACUGAUGGGCUGGUUAGGAGAUGAAACAUUCAUGUUGGACUUUCUUUGCGUCCGUCCAACAGAAAGCAGUGGAGAUACUGUCAUGAACCAACACAGCUGGACAGUUAUGCUUUUUAUUCCAAUACUAAGUUCAUGUGUGAAAGGAAUUCCUUGCUUCUUAUUGGCUUCUGGCCGUUUUCCAAUUGACUAAAUAUGGUUGAACCCUGACAACUUGCACAGGCUGCAGUAAUGUAUGAAUAUUUGCAUAGGAAACAUGUGUUGUGCCGUCCAAACAAAAGUGAUCAACUGACCGAAACUAAUGAGUAUAUUAUUAUUGAUUAGUAAGCCCCCCCUUCACCACCUCCCCUCAAGUGAAAGUCUUCUAAUCUCCUCUUUUGAUUCACAUGAGUUCUAAAACCUAAAGAUAUUUAGCUUAUAAUUGUAGGGGACUAAAACUUUAACAUUCAGAACCCAAUUGUUAAAGUGAAGCCACAUUCAGUUCCGUUUUUUACUCAAACAACCUAAAUAUUAUUUUUCAAAAAUAGUUCAAUCGAUCCAUUGAUUUAUUAUCUAUACAAACAUGAAGUCUUUAUAGCUUCAGAAGCUGUCACAAAGCUCUCAAACAAAAUGAUCUUUCCAAAAGACGGCAUAGAGAAUGUUAAGCUCCAGCAGUGCAGAAGGAUCCUUUUAAACAUAACAAUGCAAUCCCAAAGUUUCAUUUUAUGUAAGUGGAAAUUUUCUUUUGAUCAAAAAUGUUGCUUCUAAAUGAAUUUAGUAAAAUAGGCCAACCAUGUGUGACGCUCCCUCCUUUUGUCCCAGAGGCUCCUGGUAAAAAGUACCAAAUGUCAUUAUGCAGAAUGACCCAUUUCAGAGUGCUGUAUACUACGUUACUGUAUUAAAAUCAUUGACGCAUUCAUCCGUUCAUCACAUUAAUGUUGUAGGCAGUGAACUUGGAGGUCAUUUCCAUGACCUCUUGCUGUAUUUGUUAACUGUAUAAUAGUGCUUCAUAAUGGGUUGGUUGAUUUAUAUUUUUGUAUUAAUAAUGUGAUAAUAAUCUUCAAAGCAGAUAAAAAAGGUGCAAUAUUUGUUGUAAAUUACCGAAUUUAGAUACUAGUUUCUCAAAAUGACAAUCAUCCCUUUAGUGAGAAUAAUAAUAACAACAAGUCAGAGCUUUUCAUCAGCGGAAGCAACUUGUUUUGACUGAUUUUAUAGUGGCACCAAUGGUCAUAAUCCCACCUUUCCAGUACACAAACACAGCUGAAUCAGCAAACUUCCUCACGUGUUUUCAAACUUUAAAUCCCUGAAAUGACUCCCGGAUGAGCCUCCGUAUGCAUUUUGGAUUUAUUCCUGAUUACAGCAGCUGUAAUGCAGACAUCUGUUUCGGUCUGCAGGAAACUCUCUCGCCAAUCUGUCAGCAGACACUCGCAAGGUUUACUUUGACAAAGGCAGGAUAACGACUUCCUUAUGAGCUUCCCUUUGUGAGUAAACAAUUCAGAGGCGAGCCUUAAAAAAUGGAAUAAAAAGCAAACAUUAAGAAACAGGGAGAAUCUGUAGAUAAAUACCAAUCACUUCUCCAUUCCGUUUCUUCUCAAUGCAAACUGAGCUGAAUUGUCGCCGUGCAGCCGAGUGGUAAUUAUUUAUAUGAUUUGCAUUUCAAAUUCAAUUCCCUCUCAUGGAAGACGGCGGGAUAAUAAGAUGCAAAUUAGUUCAUCGGAGUGCGAAGAAGAGGAGGAAGAAAAAAAAAACCUGAUGAAAAGCAGAAAUUUUUGUGUACUACAGAUAAUUUGGGGGACUAAUGAGUUUAUUUUCCUGCGACGGAUGGAGACCAAGGAAGAGUUCCCAUUCCAAUAAAUAUAUGCAAGACACCGGAAGAAAUACUUAUACUAUAUACAGAGACAGUACAACUGCUUUGUACAUGAAUACAGAUCUUCAACAUAAGUUUAAAUAUCAGAAGGUCAGUUUGUAUUGCUGGGUCACACCAGCAUUUAAAACACGCACAUUUAAAUGAUUUCAUUUAAAUUUAAGAACCACGAUCCUUGAAUUUACUACUAAAAUAAAUUCUUGAAAUUCAACUUUUGAGAAAUUUCUAAUGAA